AUUGAACGCUGGCGGCAGGCCUAACACAUGCAAGUCGAGCGGAUGAAGGGAGCUUGCUCCUGGAUUCAGCGGCGGACGGGUGAGUAAUGCCUAGGAAUCUGCCUGGUAGUGGGGGAUAACGUCCGGAAACGGGCGCUAAUACCGCAUCCGUCCUGAGGGAGAAAGUGGGGGAUCUUCGGACCUCACGCUAUCAGAUGAGCCUAGGUCGGAUUAGCUAGUUGGUGGGGUAAAGGCCUACCAAGGCGACGAUCCGUAACUGGUCUGAGAGGAUGAUCAGUCACACUGGAACUGAGACACGGUCCAGACUCCUACGGGAGGCAGCAGUAGGGAAUAUUGGACAAUGGGCGAAAGCCUGAUCCAGCCAUGCCGCGUGUGUGAAGAAGGUCUUCGGACUGUAAAGCACUUUAAGUUGGGAGGAAGGGCAGUAAGUGAAUACCUUGCUGUUUUGACGUUACCAACAGAAUAAGCACCGGCUAACUUCGUG
rnacentral:rRNA from 1 species